GAAAAGUCUUGCUCCACCUCUUGAAACUCUCUUGUGCAUUUAUGACAGUAGCAGGAGUACAGAGCACUAAUGGUGUGGUUUGGGAGAAAUCGUCUGCUACAUAAGACUUUCAGAGAUGGUGAAAGAAGAGGGCAGAACAGGAUUUAAGUCGUAUGUUUGGGUGUUUAGGCUGACAACAAGCUUACAAAGGCUGGUUACAAGAAGGGAUGGGCAUUAUAUUUCCUAUGCAAGCUGAGAUAUUUCAAAGGUAGCAGCAACAUGCUUUGUUUUGUGGAACAAAUGUAAUCGCAUGGCAGGAUGCUGUAAAAGGACCAAACUUCAGCCAGGAGAACAACUGAGAUAAUCCAUCCACAAUACAAGUGAUCUACAGAGUCACCAUGAGGACCAAAGCCAUCCUUCUUAUGUCAGUGUUUAUACUGAUACUCUUGAUUCCCGUAUCUUUUGCUACCGGCACUCAAAACUAUACUCUAGAGAACAAUACGACAUCUACUCAAACUUUAGGCUAUUCACACUCUCCCUCUGGAGCUACAAACAGCACAACAACAUCCUCCCCAACAUCCAAUUCAGUUACAACCGUUGUUCCAUCAGGUACAACAAAUACAGCUCUACCUAGCACAACUUCCUCAUCCCCCACAACCGGAAAGGCAGUGAAGAUUUGGCUUAUUGUCAUUCUGUUGGUCAUCAUGGUUUUGAUGGUGCUUGUGGCAUAUCUCCAUCACGUGUGCCAGCAGUCCGGCCAUAGCGGCUCUGUGCCCAGGUUCCUAUUAGAUGUGAGGGAGAGGCUGAGAACCUGGAUCAGGAACCUGGAGGACCACCAGGGUGUUCAGCUUUGGCCAGGGGACAAGAGACCAGCAGAGGAUGCCAUGGAGGAGGAUGCCAUGGAGGACACAGAAGGAGGACAGGCAGAUGAGGGAGAGGUGUGGAGGGGUGGAGAAGGAGCUAAUAAUGAACUAAGCAACGAGGAAAAAGGAGAACACAAGGAGGAAGACAGCGACACUUCGGAUGACUGCUCAAGUUUGGAGGGGGAUGAUCUGAGGGAGAGGGCACUAAACAGACAGAAUGAAGAGGAGGGGAACCAGAGCAAGGACAAGGAUGAGGAUGAAACGAGUACCUCAAGUGAUGAAGGUCAAAGUCAUUCAGAAGGAAUGAGUGGUGGAAAUAAAGAUGAAGAUUCUGAAGAGACUGCACUUGUAAUCUCCCCUCAGCAGGAUUUAUGUGAUGUGACUGUUUUAUAGUGAAACGAUGCAUGAGUGAAGGAGAAGAUUCUGACUGUUUUUAAUGUUACAGAGUUUAGAUAGUUACUUUAUCGACACCAAAUCAAUAAAUAAAUCAAUACAUUUGCCUUUUUCAUAGUUGUCUCUGUGCUCUACCACUGAAACUCCGAUGUAAAAAAAAACAAAACACUGUCAGUGUGUGAUGAUCUUCAAAUAAACCUUUAAAAAAAUCCUCCUCUGUCUGGAAUUAACAUGAAAUUCAGAUGGCACAAAGACAGCUUUUUUACUGAUGAGUACAUAAGUGAGGGGACUACACCUUACAAAGUUA
ensembl:lncRNA